rnacentral:tmRNA from 1 species
GGGGGCGAAUAGGGUUCGACGUUUCUACUGGACUCCGAAGCGCAUGCCAAGAUUGUGGUAAUUCUUGUAAAACAUACUACAAAAAAUUUAGUUGCAAAUAACGACAACUACGCUUUA